rnacentral:lncRNA from 1 species
AUGAGAAGACUCUCCCAAACAAAAGUCAACGGAUCGGUCCCCAUUCUGCUUUACCUUUGCAACAUCUCUAGCUCCCUACAGGGCGGUGAAGGGAAAAAAGGGGUAAAGGAAAUUUGGACAAAUUCUAAAAUGCCACUCGAUAUCAUGAUUCAACCAAAUCCACGUACGUGGGAAAGCCCCUCAGGUACCUACAGCCCCCAGGAACAACGCGUGUGCAGGUGCACACGCACACGCACACGCACACCCUCCACGCAGAAGAACAAGCGCUCAUCCCUGCCCGUACGGAGAUGGGCUGCGGUGGGAAAGGCCUCCUCAUGCAGGAAGGAGGUGCUAACUUUACAGUUACUGUCCUGUAUCAAGAACGCUCAAUUUGACAAAACCGGUUCCCCUGGAAGAAGCGGAGGAAAACAUGACAGCUUCCCCUCCGACUUCUCUUCAGCUAAAAUACAACCCUGCAGAGCAGCGAGCGCGGCAAGGCCGAGGACCAGACGAAACGCAUCCAAGGGACGGAGAGGGAGCGGACCCGAGCUCCCCAAGGCGGGCCGCUUCCCACCCUCAGAGGCGGCCGCUCGCCACCGAGGUCGCGGUGAGAGACCCACCCGACGACGGCGCACGCCGCGCUCCGGUCUGCGUUCGGAAACCUCGGACCGGCUCGCGGGCCCGGGCGUGGAACCCCCGACACAGGACGCGGGAAAGCAACGAGCCCCAGCCACGCCGAGUUCCAACCGCCGCGGGAGCCGUUGGGGACGCGCCUCCUCGGCCGCAGCCCCGCCCCCGGCGCAGGCCGUGCGUGGAGCGCGCCGGGCACGGGGCCUGUCGGGACUUGAGGUCCGCGAGCGCGGCCCAGCCUCUCCCCCAGAACUACACUUCCCACAGUCACCGCCGCGACGCCCACUGGUGGGAGGGGAGCCGGGGCGCCGAGGCCGAUGGGGUGCCAAGUGGGCGGUGCUGACGCCGGGCCUGCGGGAGCCGAGGUCCGGGAGGGUGUGCACGCGGACGGCGGGCUCCGCCCUCAGCCCCCACCCUCGGUAG